GCGGGUGUAGCUCAAUGGUAGAGCGCCAGCCUUCCAAGCUGGAUACGUGGGUUCGAUCCCCAUCACCCGCUCCA
rnacentral:tRNA from 1 species